rnacentral:rRNA from 1 species
AUGACAGGGAUAUACGGAGAACCAAGUGGGGAUAAUAAAGAUCGUACAUACCUUCUGCUUCGAGACCUACAUGCCCAAUCGAGGAUCCCGUGGACUGUUGUUGGCAAUUUCAAUGAAAUACAGUAUUCCCAUGAGAAGGAUGGAGGGGCUCCUCGACAGCAGGUGCGGCUGAAGGCGUUCCAGGAUGCCCUUGCUGACUAUGGUUUGGAGGAUCUAGGCUACACUGAUGAUCAGUUCACUUGGUUCCGAGGUGGCCUAAAGGAGCGGCUGGACCGAGCCGUGUCCAACUCUGCUUGGAUGGAAUUGCACCCGCGCGUCUAA